GGACUGGGAGUUCUCAGAUAUACUUGAUUAUUUAAAAUUUAUAAAGCAUGGCGUGUGUAGCAAGGGAGAAAAGAGAGUGUGAAGACAUGAAGAGGAAGCUAGUGAGAGAGUGAGCAGUGAAUGGAUGCGUCUGCUUAUUAGGUCCUUCUCUUUGUAUGUAUGUACUGUCUAUGUAUGUACAAUGUGAAUGUAUACAACUAUUCCAGUUUCUCUGUCACUACUCAAAUCUUUAGUGAGAAAGGUCGUUGUGGGAAGUUAUUGUAUUGAUAUUCGCCAUGUUGGGAGCAUUUUUACGUCGAACUACUUUGGCUGGAUUCAACAGGAAGUACCAUGAUCAACGGAUGGUCCAGAACAGGCCUCCUCCAGGAUUAACGUGGGCUAGUUUGAAGCGUCAUAACUCUCUUAUGCCCCUUUUUAUAAUUAUGGCAACUGGAGGAUGUGUCGUUGUUGCUCACUGUUUCCGUCUCAUCUUCCUAUCUCCCGAUGAACAAGAUUUGGAGAAUAAUACUCCUUUCAAACUAAUUUCUGUCUUUGAUAGAGAAAGAAAAUCAUUGGCUCCACGCUACAAGACCAUGACUGAGGAAGAGGGCGAGCACUACAAAUACGAAUAACUUGAUUUUGUACUCGCCAUACGUUCCGUAGUAGUAUUUUAAUCGACGUCAUAAAUUCCAACUCUUCUUUUUUUUUUUUUUUUUUUUGUCAAAAUUUGUUUGAUAAAGCCAUUUGCAUUUAUUACUUUUAAUACGAAACAAAAAUGUAUUUCAUUUUUAGCCAUUCAUGUAGCAUUGAUUGAAUACUUAAUACGUAGAACUGCAUAAUUUUUUGUUUUUUUACGAAAAUAAAUCUCACUUCAAAUGAUUAAAUGUGUAGUAGUUUCGGUUUUAUUUUAAAUGUUUAUUUGCUUUGUCCCUCUUCCUACGAUCUCUAUUCCUAGGGGCGUCCACAGGAUUAUAUAUGUAUAUAUGGGGGGCUUGAUUUUUCAGUGCUUAACAAAAUCGAAUUUGCCCAUUCACCGUGCAGAACACUGAAAGGAUCUCAAUAUAAACAAAAAUGUUCUCAUUUUGUUCUUCCACAACGAUUCCCUCAAUAUAAUUGAUUUAGUACCUCUUCCUCCACCCCAAUUUCCUUACACUCCUCUCCUAAAAGCACUUACAGCUCUUGUUCUUCAUGAUACUAUUACGCCUAUAGAGUUCACGACUGGAAAGAAGGGAUCCAUGAACGUAUGAUAUAUAUAUAUUUAUUUAAUUUAGAAUUUGAUUUAAUAUAUAUGCAUAAUUCGUUAUAAUAAAAAGAUACCAUUUAAAAAUC
rnacentral:lncRNA from 1 species